UACGAAGGAUGCAAGCGUUAUCCGGAUUCACUGGGGUUAAAGGGUGUGCAGGUGGGGUAAUAAGUCAGUGGUGAAAGCCCCCGACUCAAUCGGGGAACUGCCAUAGAUACUGUUAUUCUUGAGUGUGGUUGAGGCGGAUGGAAUAUGACAUGUAGCGGUGAAAUGCUUAGAUAUGUCAUAGAACACCGAUCGCGAAGGCAGUCCGCCAAACCAUUACUGACACUGAAACACGAAAGUGCGGGGAUCAAACAGG
rnacentral:rRNA from 1 species